CCGAGACCUGACGCCACGAGCACCGCCGCAAAGUUUUUUGAAUGAUUUCAAGUAAGUGGUGCUGUCCUACCAUCCAUUUUUUGUUUGAUCCGCAUGGGCCUGAGGACUUGCACACUGUCCAUGGAUUGAAAAUAACUAUUUUUGUAGUGUU